AGGAAUAUUGCACAAUGGGCGCAAGCCUGAUGCAGCCACGCCGCGUGCGGGACGAAGGCCUUCGGCUCGUAAACCGCUUUUCUGGGGGAAGAGCAAGGACGGUACCUCAGGAAUAAGUCUCGGCUAACUACGUGACAGCAGCCGCGGUAAAACGUAGGAGGCGAGCGUUAUCCGGAUUUACUGGGCGUAAAGCGCACGCAGGCGGCUCUGUUAGUCGGACGUGAAAGCUCUCGGCUUAACCGGGAGAGGCCGUUCGAUACUGCGUGGCUUGAGGUAGGGAGAGGAAUGCGGAAUUCCCGGUGUAGUGGUGGAAUGCGUAGAGAUCGGGAGGCACACCUGUGGCGAAAGCGGCAGUCUGGCCCUCACCUGACCGUCAGGUGCGAAAGCGUGAGUAGCAAACA
rnacentral:rRNA from 1 species